AGUGAACGCUGGCGGUAGGCCUAACACAUGCAAGUCGAACGGCAGCACAGUAAGAGCUUGCUCUUACGGGUGGCGAGUGGCGGACGGGUGAGGAAUACAUCGGAAUCUACUUUUUCGUGGGGGAUAACGUAGGGAAACUUACGCUAAUACCGCAUACGACCUACGUGCGAAAGUAGGGGAUCUUCGGACCUUGCGCGAUUGAAUGAGCCGAUGUCGGAUUAGCUAGUUGGCGGGGUAAAGGCCCACCAAGGCGACGAUCCGUAGCUGGUCUGAGAGGAUGAUCAGCCACACUGGAACUGAGCCACGGUCCAGACUCCUACGGGAGGCAGCAGUGGGGAAUAUUGGACAAGGGGCGCAAGCCUGAUCCAGCCAUACCGCGUGGGUGAAGAAGGCCUUCGGGUUGUAAAGCCCUUUUGUUGGGAAAGAAAAGCAGCAGGUUAAUACCCCGCUGUUCUGACGGUACCCAAAGAAUAAGCACCGGCUAACUUCGUG
rnacentral:rRNA from 1 species